UACGUAGGGGGCAAGCGUUGUCCGGAUUUAUUGGGCGUAAAGAGCGUGUAGGCGGCUAGAUAGGUCCGUUGUGAAAACUCGAGCUCAACCUCGAGACGCCGAUGGAAACCCUCCAGCUAGAGUCCGGAAGAGGAGAGUGGAAUUCCUGGUGUAGCGGUGAAAUGCGCAGAUAUCAGGAAGAACACCCGUGGCUAAGGCGGCUCUCUAGUACGGUACUGACGCUGAGACGCGAAAGCGUGGGGAGCGAACAGG
rnacentral:rRNA from 1 species